UGGCCGGUAGUUCAACUGGCAGAACGCCUGAUUUUGGAUCAGGAUAAUGCAGGUUCGAAUCCUGCCCGGCCAGCGA
rnacentral:tRNA from 2 species